rnacentral:lncRNA from 1 species
CCCUAGUUACACGGGCGUGCUAACCACAGUUAAGACGCACCUCAGUUCCGGCUAACCGAAGUUACACCCAGUUAGACGGAAAGCCUAACUGCGGUUAUUCCACUAACCAUGGUCGCUGCAAACUGAGGUUGGCCACCUCAGUUAGCGAGGCUAACAGACAAGAUGGCGGCACCCAUGCAGAUGGACGAAGGCGGCGCGACUCCAACGAAGGUGACGGCCGAAACAUCUUCCCAAAGGCGUGUCAACUGGUCUGUUGCAACAACAGAGUCGUUGAUACGCAUUUGGGAGGAUGAUUUUGCCGCGCUGCGUUCUAACACGCGUAAUGCGCGCAUUUACCAACAAAUGACGGUAGCACUAAAUGCACGCCUGCCUGCCGGCGAAGUGCCGUACACGGCCAAGCAGCUACGCCAGAAGCUCGAAAACUUGAAUAAGCAAUACCGGAAGCUGAGGCGCACUGGCACAUCGACAGGCUCAAAAGGUGUUGAGUGACCUUUUUAUUGGCAGCUACACUCAUUUUUGGGGACGCUUCCUGUCAACGACACUGACCUUGUGGAGGAGAGCGUGGAGGUGCCAGAAGUUAAUGAAGCGCCUGAUGACGCUGAAGUCAUCGCUUCAUGGGAAGCAGAACAAGAACAUUUCAUGACAGGAAGUGUGGAAGGCAGCCCUGCGCCACCAAAUGAAAACGGUGAAGACGAGAACACUCCAACCCCUGCCGCCAGCUGCCCACCUGGCAGCAGAAAGCGAAAGCGGCCGUCAUCGCUUUUGCAGGAUGUGUUCGCGCUUCACGUGGCGCAGAAGAAAGAGCCCCAAAAAUGCCCAGCAAUCCAUUGAGCUGCGCAAAGAGCUUGUGCAGCUCCAAAAGGAAGCGAAUGAGAUAAACAAAAACACCCUUGAGGUUAUAAAAAACUAUUUUGCAUUCAGACAAAAUAAAGAUUGAAUGGGAGGAACCAAACAUGAUUUUUGUUUUGCUUUCGUUAAACUCGUUCAUAAUAUACUCAUUUUGGAUGUUCCAUACAUCCACCUGUACUUGUUUGCACUAAAUGUCUAAACCAGACCUAUCAUUUUUCUUCUGAAUAGGCGAGGCAAAGUUUCACUCCUGCAUUCAUUUGUGUCACUGAGAAAGCCACAAGACAAUUUUGCUUUAAAUAUACAAAGCACACUAUGUGCAAAUCAGCCUUUCAAUAAGAUAGGUCUACCUAUCGAAAUGCCAGCCAGCCUUUAUGAGGCAUUUUAUCCCUGUUUAUACAACUUCUAUUCACACAGUGUACUUCCAUCUGUCAGUGCCUUUCUUGACUUUUUAUAUAAAAAGCAGUCAUCUACUCCAGCCUUCUGUAGUCUACAAUUCAUUCACAAUACAAAAGAUACCAAGAGCGGAGCCAUAAGUGACACACAAGCGAGUGCAAGAAAACCAAAGCAGACAGUACAUUUACACUGCACGAUAAGUAAUGUUCACAACACACUGGAAAAGUAAGGAGUAAUGUCCGUGGUUGGUGUAGGAAAACUUUCCUCAUCGAGCACUGCACUGAAAGCGAGACCUGGCUUGUAGUAGACACAACUUCUUGCACAAUUCUUACAAACUGUGCAAAUGGAAUUUGUGCAGCAUAUAGAUUGUAGACCGAUGCUUGUCACUGUCUCAUGGUGUCUCCCUAAAAGUGUCGUGAGUCGAAAAACAGCUGGUACAGCGCGCGGCAAUAUGCUUUGCAAGUGCAUCUCUCACUUCCACUCCUAGUGGCUCAUUAUGACUGCUUGUACAUACUGGCUGAGCCCGCCUUGCAUCUUCACUGCGCGCAACUUCAAUCCAGCUUGCAUCACAGUGAUCUGUUAGCUGCUCACAUAUGUUGUUCAGAACACAGCAAGCAUGGAUGAUGCAGUUCACGUUAUCGAUCUCACAUUCCAGGCCCUUAUGCAGGAUUCGGAACCGCGCUUUCAGUCGCCCGAAGGCGUUUUCCACAACACGUCUAGCGCUUGAGAGAUUAUAAUUGAGAAUAUGCGAUACUGAGCCAGUAGGACCUGGCCUUGCAAAAGGUUUUAUUAAGUGAGGCUGCAGAGCGAAUGCUUGGUCAGCCAAGAGAACAGGCCCGACCGAUACUCCUUCAAUUGACUUGGCAUUCAACCUGAACAAAUUGCUGCUCAGUACACUUGGCAGAUGUCACCGCUCGAAUACUGCCGCAUCAUGUAUUCGACCCGG